GAUGAACGCUGGCGGCGUGCCUAAUACAUGCAAGUCGAGCGAACAGACGAGGAGCUUGCUCCUCUGACGUUAGCGGCGGACGGGUGAGUAACACGUGGAUAACCUACCUAUAAGACUGGGAUAACUUCGGGAAUCCGGAGCUAAUACCGGAUAAUAUAUUGAACCGCAUGGUUCAAUAGUGAAAGACGGUUUUGCUGUCACUUAUAGAUGGAUCCGCGCCGCAUUAGCUAGUUGGUAAGGUAACGGCUUACCAAGGCAACGAUGCGUAGCCGACCUGAGAGGGUGACCGGGCACAUGGGGACGGAGAUACGGCCCAGACGCCUAAGGGAGGCAGGAGUGGGGAAUAUUGCACAAUGGGCGGAAGACUGAUGCAGCAACGCCGCGUGCGGGAUGACGGCCGACGGGAGGAAAACCGCGUUCGCCUGUGACGAAGCGGGAGGGACGGUAAUGGGUAAAGAAGCGCCGGCUAACUACGUG
rnacentral:rRNA from 1 species